UACAGAGGGUGCAAGCGUUGUUCGGAAUUAUUGGGCGUAAAGGGCGCGUAGGCGGUUUGUUAAGUCGGCUGUGAAAGCCCGGGGCUCAACCCCGGAGGGUCAGCCGAUACUGGCAGACUAGAGUACGGAAGAGGUAGCUGGAAUUCCCGGUGUAGCGGUGAAAUGCGUAGAUAUCUGGAAGAACACCAGUGGCGAAGGCGGUCGACUGGCCCGUAACUGACGCUGAGGCACGAAAGCGUGGGGAUCAAACAGG
rnacentral:rRNA from 1 species